GUGAGCUGAGAUCGCACCACUGUACUCCAGCCUGGGUGACAGUACAAGACUGUCUUAAAAAAAAAAAAAAAAAAAAAACAUAAGUUAGGCUUUGUAUUACCACUAAGGGGAAAAGUUGCUGGAAUAUUUUGAGGAAAUGUGUUAGAAACAGUAGGGUGCAAAGGUAGAAGCAGAGACAGGUAAAAUGCACAGCAGGAGACAGUGGCAGCCAGCAAGAUAACAGAAGUGGUUGGAUUCUGGCUGCAUUUGAAGGCUAAACUAGCAGGAUUUGCGGACAAGUUGGAUAUGUGGUGUUAAGAAGAGGAGUCAUGAACCAUCUAUUGUUUUGUGUCUGCGCAACUAGCAGCUUGUAGUUGCCAUGCCUGAAAUGGAAAGGAGUACACCCGGAGUGUGAGGUGCUGCGUGGGCAAUUAGUCGAGAUGGCGUAGAGGCAGCUGGAUAGAUGAGUGCAGACUUUAGGCGAGAGGUUGUCAGUGUAUAAAUGGCAUUUAAAGUCAUGAAACCCAGUAAAAUUACCUAGGGUCUAAGUACCGAUAAAAAGCUAUGCAAGAAAUGAGUCCUUGGGAACCACCAACAUUUGAGAGAGAGAGGAAGAACCAGCAAAGGAGACUCAGCAAAAACAGCCAGCAAGAGUGAGGCAAGGUGGCUCUGAAGCCAGCACAUUUCAACGACAAGAGAGAGAGCAACUGGAUCAAAGGCUGCUGUGCCUCAGUUAAGAUGAGUGCUGCAAACUGGCCUUGGUUUAGCUGCGUUGAAGCACAGCGACCUUGACAAGAACAGUUUCUGAAAACUUGGUAUGGGUGGUCACAAGAAAGCCUGAGAGUCAGAGCUGGAGAUGGUGUUACAGAAAGCUUUUCUUGAGAGCACAAAGAAAUGGUCUGUAGAUUCACUGCAAUGUAGGGUCAAGGAAGCUAUUUGUGGUCCCAUGGGAGUGAUCUAGGAGAAGAGCAGGGAACCACAGCCAGGUGUCGCCGAGGGAACACAGAAUCCAGUUGAAGAGGGAAGGGCCAGCCUGAGACAGCAACACCAGCAGGAAGGAAAGCGCUCAGAGUCCCAGCACAGGCAGGCAUUCACAGCGUGCGUAAGCUCUGUGCUGAUCACUUACAUGUUCUCAGUGUUUAGGCAAUGAGACCUCAAUUGACAGAAUGGGGUUGGGGGAAUAUUAAAGUUUUGGGGAGAGAAGAGAAGAUAUAAGGCAAUAUUCUAGAAGGGUAGGAAAAUUAAAGGACCAGAAAAAUGUAACAGGUUGGCCAGGUAGCACUGAUGAGCCCUUGAAGUAGGUGGUCAUGAGCUUAAAGUGAGACUUGUCAGCAUGGUUUUAUGUUUUUCCUGUAGCCACUUUCAGUUAUAUGAGUACAGGCAUGAAGUGGACCACUGGUUCUCAGCAGGGUAAGUUUGUCUCCCACUGCAGACAUUUGGCAAUGCUUGGAGACGUUUCUGGUUCCUAGGGGCAUCUAAUGGGUAGUGGCCAAGGAUGUUGUUAAAUAUCAAACAGUGCACUGGAUAGACUCCCACAACACAGUUACAUAGCUCAAAACAUCAGUAGAGCCAUUGUCAAGAAACAGAAGGAGACAGAGAAUUAAUAAGUGUUUUGCCAGGUGUGUAUGACAAAGAGGGAACUGUGCAAGUGAGGGGACUGUGGGAUAUAGCUGGGUAAGGAGGGAAGUGAGG